AUUGAACGCUGGCGGCAGGCCUAACACAUGCAAGUCGAACGAGUGGCGGACGGGUGAGUAAUGUCUGGGAAACUGCCCGAUGGGGGGGGAAAAUAAGGGGAACGGUAGCUAAAAACCCACACCAAUGGUUUGGCCCAAAUGGGAUUAGGUAGUAGGUGGGGUAAAGGCUCACCUAGGCGACGAUCCCUAGCUGGUCUGAGAGGAUGACCAGCCACACUGGAACGGAGACAUGGUCCAGACUCCUACGGGAGGCAGCAGUGGGGAAUAUUGCACAAUGGGCGCAAGCCGGAUGCAGCCAUGCCGCGUGUAUGAAGAAGGCCUUCGGGUUGUAAAGUACUUUCAGCGAGGAGGCGUUACUCGCAGAAGAAGCACCGGCUAACUCCGUGCCAGCCGCCGCGGUAAUAC
rnacentral:rRNA from 1 species